GGACAUGUAUCAAAUGUGCAGUCUGUUUGCUGGAGCUCCUCCGGGGAGUAUUUAGCAUCUUUGAGUGAGGAUUCUGUUAGAGUGUGGAAAAUCGAUUUUGGGGGAGACCAAAAAUGCAUGCACGAAUUUUCUUGACAGUGGUGUAUUUACGUAAUAUGGCAAUCGACUUUACAGUAACAAAAAUUUGCUACUUCCUCAGUUGAAUCCUUCUUGGAUCUUGUAGGUGAUGAUGCUUGUUGGCACUGGGUGUUGUGUUGUUCUUGAAAUUGUCCUCUUAUGAACUUUUAGAAUUUCCUGACAAUAUUACAAAUUGUGCAACACAGUUGGAAAAUCAACCUCUCAUUGCAUACUAACCCUGAUGUUGAAGCUAAGGUUGUUUUGCUACCAAUGUUAGUUGUGGCCCUUAGCUUUCUUCAUUUUCUUCAUCAUCCUUAGUCUUCAUCUUGAAUUUGUAGGAUUCAAAUCACUAAAUAACUUGUAUAUAUGUUUAAUUUGUAGUGUUUUGAGAUCCCUUUGAUCACUCAUAGUCAUGCCACUGCCAUGUCCCAACUAGGUAGUAAUCCGUUUAGUAAUUUGAGACAUUUCUUUUUGGCUAAUUUCCUUAAGUUUGA